rnacentral:lncRNA from 1 species
CUCCCUCCUCUGGCAUACACAAUUCCUUGCUCAUGGCAGGGCUGCAGGGAUUACAUGGGGCCACCUCAUCAGAGCACACCCAAUACCCAGCACCUCUUCAUCCAGGGUAACUCAGAGACCACAACUACCCACAGCUGUGGCUACAGCACCUUUUAUAUAAUGGCCCAGAUGCCCGCCCAGCACGAGAGCACAGGGCUCUCCUAACCCCAGUGACCUCAGCUUGGAAGCCUGCUUUUCCCACUACUGGAGGGCAGUGUCCCCCUCCUCCCAGGGCUGGCAUUGGGAGAGGCCCAGCCGCACAAGAAGGUGCACGCUGACUCUUCCCAGGCAGGCUCGGAGUAGAGGUUUCCAUUUCCUGAAACCCUGCCCAUCAGAGGCAGCCUGUUUCCAAUUACCAUACCUACUGGUCAUUAGAUGAGAACAGGCUGAACACAUCGCAGGCCCUAGCACUGCUGGGUUGUCCUGGAAGCUUUAACCUCAUUACUGUAUUAAUCGAUAUUUUGGAGAUGAACUUUUGACCCAAUGCUCAUCCAGCAUCCUUUCCUCCUGGACACUUCCCUGGAAGGCAGCGUGAAGCAGAAAGGACAAAUAUGUAAAUCCUGACUUGGUGUCUGUGGUGAAUUAACUAAUGGGCAACUUGUAACGCUCAGCUGAACUUAAUCAGUGUGGUCUGGGCAUAGAAGAUCCACCUGAGGAUUGUUGCCAAUAGCCAUAAAAAGAGAACUGGAGAGGAAGAUUGUAUGCUGUUGAUUUUCUAGGAGAAGCUUGCUGCGCAUGGUUUUCCUGAUGCGAACUUGACUGUUCUCAUCGGAGGAGGAGCUUGGGGCCUUGCUGUCCCUGGGAAUGGCUGCUGUUCUCAAGGGAGCUCUGAUCUUCACCAAGAGCAUCACUUCCUGGCUCCAAUGUAGAUCCCUCAGCUUGGUGGCACAAAUCCUUCAUCCCACCAGUGUAGGUUUUCUGGCUUCCCCCACUGGCCUUUGGGCCUCCGCGUGCAGAUCCUCAAUAUGGACAAGCAUGAGACAUUGCUGUGGGCUCUAGGCCCCUGGCUGGACUUGUGGAGGGCAUUGCCUUGGACUAUAGGCCUUCAGCUGGACUUACGUGGGACAUUGCUGUGGGAUCCAGGCCCUCGCUUGGAUUCUUUAAGCCUCUAGUGUAUGGUUAAUCUCUGCACUCCUUUGCAUUUGACUUUUUGGGUAAUUAUCAUAAAAUAAUUCUAUAAACUGUGUCCUGUAUUAAAUGUAUUCUCUUUCUAAAACCCUGAAUACAACAGUGUCAUUCCCUGAGAUCAUGCUUUCUGUGGAAAUGGGCAGUACCUUUUGAUUAUAAAGUACUGGGGAAGCAUUUCACAACUCAAAAUAUAUGUGGGAACAAAUGAGACUCUUAAAAGAAACAUGAAUCUCAAGAAUCAAAAAUAUAAUUUAUAAGAG